rnacentral:rRNA from 1 species
AACGGACGCUGGCGGCAGGCUUAACACAUGCAAGUCGAACGGCUGUAGCAAUACAGCAGUGGCAGACGGGUGAGUAACACGUGGGAACCUUCCUAGGGGUACGGAACAACUCAGGGAAACUUGAGCUAAUACCGUAUACGUCCGUAAGGAGAAAGAUUCAUCGCCCCUAGACGGGCCCGCGUCGGAUUAGGUAGUUGGUGGGGUAACGGCCUACCAAGCCUACGAUCCGUAGCUGAUCUGAGAGGAUGAUCAGCCACACUGGGACUGAGACACGGCCCAGACUCCUACGGGAGGCAGCAGUGGGGAAUCUUGGACAAUGGGCGCAAGCCUGAUCCAGCCAUGCCGCGUGAGUGAAGAAGGCCUUAGGGUUGUAAAGCUCUUUUACCAGGGACGAUAAUGACGGUACCUGGAGAAUAAGCCCCGGCAAACUUCGUGCCAGCAGCCGCAGUAA